rfam:Schistosoma mansoni strain Puerto Rico chromosome 4, complete genome
AUCCAGCUGAUGAGUCCCAAAUCGGACGAAAUGCGCGUCAUACUGGAU